ACAACCAUCUCUAGAGUUUACAGAGAAUAUAUCCAGUGAGUGGCAGCUCUCUGGGAGAAAAAUGCCAUGAUGCCAGAGGUCAGAGGAGAAUGGCCAGGCUGCUGUGAGCUGAUAAGACGGGAACGGCAACUUAAAUAACUGCUUGUUACAACAAAGGUAUGCAGAGGAAGAUCUAUGAAUACACAACACAUCCAACCUUGAAGCAGAUGGGCCACAGCAGCAGAAGACCAUAACGUGUAUCAAUCAUAUCAGACAAGAACAGAAAAAAAUGAGUCUUGAUUUCUGCAGCAACAUUCAGAUUGUGGGGUCAGAAUUUGGGAAAAACAACAUAAAAGCACAGAUAUAUGCCUUGUAUUGGUUCAGGCUCCUGAUUGCGGUAAAAGUGUGGGAUCAUUUUCUUGGCAGUAUUGUUGCCAACCAUGUCCUUCUCUUUAUGCAUAGCGUAGCAGUCUACUUAUGGCUGCUUUAAGCAAGAUAAGACACCAUGCCACAAAGUUCAAAUCAUCUCAAACUGCUUUCUUGAACAUGGCAAUGAGUUCACUGUACUCAAAUGACCUCUACAAUCACCAGAUUGUCAAUCCAAUAAAGCACCUCUGGGAUGUGGAGGAAUCUACAUUACAUGAUUCAUAUCACGGACGUGCAGCUGACAAUUCUGCAGCAGCUGUGUGAUGCUGUCAUGUCAAUAUGGACCAAAAUCUCUGAGGGGUGCUUCCAGUUUUAAAGACAAAAGGGGGUCCAACGUGUACGUAAUGAACUGGCCGGUGAGCGUAUGUCAGCAGAUAUGCAGGAAGAAACAUUGAAAUACACAAGAAUAUUUGUGAUUAGAGCCACAACAAUGCAGAUUUAACAACAAAGUAACACAUUUAUAGUGGUCUAUUUAGAAUAUGGACACUAAAAAUAGAUUUUGUUCUGACAAAUAGUCAAAUGCCAAAAGAUUUGUUUUUAAAACAGGAAGAAACAGAAGAGAGCAACAAAUUAAUCCUAACCAGUUUGGUGUUUUGGUUGAACGCUAAUGAGUAAAAUGUUUUCUCCCCGAUUGAUUAACCUUCUAAUUAUGUAUAUAUUUUCAGAUUUCUCUAUUUCCAGCCAUAGUGCCCUGCCGCACUUGGAGCUAUGUUAAAGUCAAUUCCUGUUAAUGUGUAAUCAGACUGAAGACAUGCUAUCUUUGGCCGUGUCUGCAGGGAGACAAUAAGCACUGCUGUGACUCUAAUGACACUGUUAACAUGGCUUGGAAGCAGAUCUAAUGGCAACGCGGAAAGACUGCGCAGAGUCACAGGAAACCGCACUUCUUGCCCAAAUCACAGUAGAGAUGACCGCCUCCCAAUGUUGACCUUCACACUGUGAUGCAGUGAGCUACAGCUGAAGAAAGGACGAAAGGAGAAAGAAAGCGAAGGCCUGAGAGGCGGAGUGAGAGAAGCAGACACAAACAAAGGGAAAUCUCAAGGCCUUGAGUGCGAAGCAGUGAGGUCAGACCCGUUAAAUAGAGAGUACAAUACAUUAGACCAUGAUGGGGCUGAAGAUAAAGCACCUAAACCGAAUAAUGGCUAAUGGAUCUCAAAAUGUCUGCAUGCCCAUCUCACCUAAUGUGCUACGUAUACCUUGGAAGAGGCCGAGAUAGAGCUGGAAACGUGUCUGUGCUUCUUUCUUCAAAAUAAUAGAUUCAAAAAUGCAGAGGGAGAAAGCAAGGGGGACAUGAAUAUUUCAUGCUUUGCAGAAGCUGAUGAGAGGUAUAGCCAGCAGACAUAUUGGUAAGGUGAAGAGAAGCCAAAAGGUUCACAGACACCACAGUGUUCCAGUCUGCCAGAAAGUCAGAGGCCUAACUCAUGCAUAAAGGAGAGGCAGUAGGAGACUAACGCAGAUCCCAUAGCCAACCUUUUCAUUCACGGUGAUGGAAAGAGCUCAGACCAAAUGUGAACUCGGUAAUUGCACAUGUGGACUAAAGCCUCCCUAAAUAGAGGUGGCAGACCAGAGCAGUAAGAGGGGAAAAAAAUGAAAGACAAUAGCAAAUGAAAGGACAAGUUGAUCAACUCGUACAAGAGAAGAGAAAUUAGCGAGAGAUUCAUCCCAAAGUAUAACCAUCAAUCUCGACGCUUCGAAAACUACAAUUAAAGCACUUUGCUCAUUAUUUUAGAGCGGCUGAAAGACACGAGGCGACAGAGUGAAAUGUGGCCAGAAACAAUAGCAGGUGACACCGGGGGCAGACUGAUGCUUUUCCUCAGGGUGGGUGGUCACUUAAACCUGCUCGCUCUACAUCGCUGGAAACAAGCCAGAGCCAUACUGCUAGAUUAAUGAGAGACAAAGAGGAGCAGGGGGAUGGAGGCUAGUCCUCAGCUGUAACAACUCUCUGGAUAAACAACGCUACGGUCGACCAUAUGCGGCUUCACACGUCUUCCCCCCUUUUUUUGCCCCCACUCCCUCCCCGACACUGCUGCUGCACUUCUUUUAAAGUGUGAAUACGACUAAGUGUCUGAGGGAUUUGCGAGGACAGUCGGUACAUUAACACCAACAAACCAGUGUCAGACUCCGCCGUAGGUGAUCCCUUGGACAAAUAAACUUUUAAAGGAGAUUUAGGCCCUCCACAUCCCCUCAGGACCCAACAGUUCCCCCUUUUCUUCCCCCCUGCUGUCCCCUCUCCAAUCUGCCCCCUUUGCUCCUGUCAGACAGAAAUAAACGAUGACCCUCAGCGCUCAAUCGCCACAGGACUUGGCAACUGCACGUUUCCCAUGGAAACGCUGGAGUUAGGUUGCGUUCAGAGGCAUGGAAACUGUGCCGAAGGAAAAACAGUGAGGGCGCUAAUCCAUAGGACCCUCAUCGAAGGGCUGCUGGUGUGACCACACACGCAAACACACACACACACAAGACACUCCAACGGAAGAUCGGCUUGUUUGCAUUCAAUCCUGGACAACACUGCAAGUAUCGUGUUCAAACACUAACACUGAACUUGGUCUUGUGUUUGCAAGGCCUGAAAUUUUUCAGCGGGGCAUGCGUCAAGGUUAAAUGGGUAAGAAUGACGCUAGUGUAAUCCAUAAUCUGUAAUCCUGUUAAUCUGCAAACAGCACCAAAUGUGCUUAUGGCAGCUCUGUUACUGUGUGAGACGCCUUGAAGGGAUUAAGAAAUGAGACACAAUAGAGCCACUAUGGUGAAGUUUUGACAGUAUAUGAGGAGGGAGGCUGGGAUGGCAGCCAUCUUUUUGAUUUGAGAACUGAGAUGUGCACGACGCUCGCUCAGAAGGCUCACUCAAAAGCCUGACAUUUUCGAGACGCUGACUGUCCGCGGCUACAAGAUGCCCAAGUCUCAAGCAGUAAAUAGCAAAGCCGGAGCAAAUUUCCACAUUUGCAUUCUGCCUCCUACCCUUUCUUGAGAGAGAUUAAACUUCAAAAAGCAAGAAUUUUUCACAUUUCUUUUGAAGCACAUCUAAAAGCAACAAACAGGCACAUGAGAGCAGCAAGGACUCGCCUUCUUAAAGAGGUUACGUUUUAAAAAAGCAACAGUCACAGUUCUUUUUCCCCUUAAGCCAGCCUUGGCAUUCAUCAAUAUAAAAUCAAUCAAUCUGAAAUUUGAAUUCCAUUUUAUGCAUUCAUUGUGGCUGCUGCGAUUAAAGGCUUAGGCCGUGAAAUAGUGUGGAGCGGAGCACCGUAUCCUCGCUCGGGCUACCGCCUCUCACCCUUCAGCCAAUCUGAAUGCGCGAGCAGGCAGCUUCAUUUUAGCUGCAAACAUUUACACCGACACUUCCCUCUCCCUCCGUCUCAUCAAUUCAUUUCAUGCCACUGCGUGAAGGACAGAGGACUCGGGAGGGAAAUGUAGUUUUGCCUUCUAAUUCUCCAGAAAGUGCCUUUCAGACAAUUUCCCCUUACCAAACCAUGUGGCUGAAUUAUCACAUCAUUUUUCAGCACCUCAAUUUACUGUCCCCAAGACUGAGGCAAUUUCGCAGAAGAAAAAUGCCUUUCCUCGGUUCGCCCAUGCCCUUCCAAUUACUUCUCAAGGCCCCACUCGACGACCUCGAUCCCGGCGCUGUCAUAAUUGAAAUGAUUGCAAUGCUAUUCUUUGACAUAGUAACGGGACAAAGAGGGAAUUAUCUUCAAAUGCGCACGAGGUAGUGCAAUCUUUACCUAGGAGCAAUUAUCGAGAGAAUGGGAAGACGGUAACGGCAAUCACAUAGAAGCACUGCAGGACCCUGCCCUCAGACUUCUAUAUUUAAGAGAUCACGUCAGAUCCCGUCAACACACACAUCAUCGUCAAGGGAGACAACCUAAGCAGGCGUUGGCAUAAUGGCAUGAUUACACAUUUAUAAUAUGUGAGAAUGAUUAAGACCGAAAUGAAUAAGAAACAGGAGGAGCAGGGAAUAAAAUAUACAUGGCGCUCGUGAGUCAUUUUCAUCUUGGAGGCUCUCAAACCUGGCUGCCACCAUCCUUUAGUUUUCCAGUGGGGAUCUGAGAGCACAGGGAAGCGUAAAAUGGAUCACCUCACAGUGGAAAAAGUAGUGCGGAGUUGGGAGCCAUGGGAAAACUGUGGCUGAGCGGAGAAGGAUCAUUAGGGAAGAGUCUAAGUGAGAUGUGAAAUGGUAUCGCACCCCUGGGCAGCAGGAUGGAGGGGCCGAGAGUGGAACCGGCAUCCUCAUCAAUGGCCUCGAUCGCUCCCACGGAACAUGUGAAAAGCAGUACACACACGCGCACACACUCAAAACUCCACUCCUGUUGAUAACUACCAGCAGCUCGGUGCCACAGUAUAUCUAUUUAUAGACGCUCCGUGUCCCAUUUACAUUCAUAGGGGGACACUGGAUCAGAAAAAGAAUAUGUAUAAAAAGCUGAACGUGUAUUAAGAUGGACAGUCGAACCACAAACUCGAUCGUACGAUUUACACAGGGGACAAAUUAACCGGAUAAUAAUUGCAUAAUGAGACGACGGUCUGAUUAAGCCAAAGUGAAGAAAAUAAUUGACAUCAUUCUGGAAACUGUGCAUAUGAUUACUUCUUUAAGUGACACAGCAGACCAUCAGAGACAUUAGCUGCAGGGUAAAGCGAUCCUACGGCGUCUGCCGUUGAAAAUGCACAUUAAUUUCCUUCAUUUGUCUUCCUUGAUGCUCUGACAUCAUGGAUAUGGGUGUCCUGCAGGGUUGAAAUUAUACCCAGUGACAUGUUUAUGUGUGGAAAUUACUGCAAAGGUGGUGAACAACCCGCACACCGGCAAAAAGUACACUUCAGAGAAAGAAGAAAAAGGCAAGCACACUCUAUUGGAUUUCUGAAGGUAGAAAAUAGGCUUGUAGAGCCUCGGACAGCCAACGUGAGGCAGAGGGAGGUGGCGGGAGAGGGAGGAAGGGGUUGGUCAUUUAUCAUUUUUGUCAGUCCUGGUAGAAAAGGGAGGUGGGCUGGGAAGGGGGGGCUUUCAUAUAAAUUGAGUGUAGGUGGAAUCAAUGUGGCGUUGUUGGUGAAAGCAGGGAGGGGUGAGCCAGCCAGAUCAAUGCUGGUGGGAGUGCCUGUUUGUUCCCAUUGUUUAUCUACUGUCAUCUCAGGAUGCUAGUGAAGGACAAGGGAGCAUGGCGGGCAGCCCGAUGUCUCCAUCGGGGACUGAAGAUUCCUGACGGGUCUUUCUUUAUGAAGACAAUACACAUCACUCAGAGGUGAAAGUCGCACUGUUCGCGAAUAACGCACGUCUGCGUGAAUGUGAGUGUGGGAGUUGGGGGUUCCUGAGUGGAAGGGGAACGUAGAGACAACAGCACUUAAGUGUCAGCGUGGUUUGAUGCUGCAGGGUCUGCUGAUCAAAUGCCCAUUCAGCUGAGAAAACCCUACGUAGCGCCCCGCAGAAUGUCUGACUGAAGCACAACGGUUUUAUUAGGACCUCCCCACCUGCAGCAGAACAGCAAUAACAGAUCUGCUGACCUGACAUGAACCAGAGAUGCUAUCAAACGGCAACAACGCGCGUGAUGGCUGCAGAAGAAUAGAAAAGAAAGCGAUCAAACUAAUAACAGAAUCCCCAGGCAUGCUGUUACACGAGCCGUGGCACUCGCAUAAACAAUAUAACUGUCUAAUCUGCUCAAUCUGAGGGGAAACAGAGGGAACGCAGCCGAGGUGAGCUUGCAUCCCGGCCUGCAAAAAAAAAAAAAAAAAAAAAAAAAAACGGGGCAAGUACAAUACCUGCUUAUGAAAUGAUGAUGAGCUAGAUUCAAGAGCCUCCACCCUCCCACCCAAACCCUGGCCCAGUGAAUUUCAGGUAUUAUGAUUCCCAGGGGAGCUCUUCCUCUCUCUCAUCUCCUUUCCUCUCCCUCUCCCUCACUUUUACACCUUCCCUCUUCCAUCUUCCCAUCUUUCAUGUCCAGAUAAGAACCGGCCCGCACUGAUCUGUCUGUGAUUCACGCAGCAGAAACGCGUUCCCAUGGGAAUAUCGCAGCGCGGAAGAAUAGCUGACACAAGAGAUGAGAUUCUGUUAUGCUCCCCAUAUUUUUGCCUGCAAGAUCAAACAGAUAUGAUACCCCCCCCCACACACACACCCCCGUAAGAAAACGCACUCAUAAUCAUCAGCUUGCUUUCAGCGCACAAUCAAGAACAGCAGAUAAAUGGAGGAAAGUGGAAAUUUGUCUACAGUAUGUUUUACAUAAACAAACAGCGCACACUUGACACAUCCAACUGCAGAGAAACACUCAGCCUCGUGAUUGGCUUAUCGCAGUAACAAUAACUACACACCCGAUUGUAGGCCCAGUCGUGAAUCUUAUUACAAAUCCUAUGUGUUGCUUGAAACUGAGCCUGAGACUUUUUUUUUCUCUCCUCUCUCUCUCUCAUUCCAUCUUCCACAGCCGCGGUUUGAAAAAACACGACCGCAGUCAAGCUCAGCGAUACUUCCAGCUUUUCCAACGUGGCAGCACGAGCCCCCACGAGUGUCUCCGCUGUUUUCUUAAUUGAAAGAAGGAAAAAAAGGACCAAAUGGAGAAAAAAUCCAGCCAGUGUUACAUACUAAAUGGACGCUACUUGGAGCCAAGCGAGAGGUCUGCAGCAGCUCUGAAGAACCUACAAGCUUUGAUGGCUGAGAGAUGAGAGACAAUGUACAGUUGCCCGGGUGAUUUACCAGCUAGUUUUCUGGUAGACUGAAAAAGAGAAAAAUCACUGUUAAAAAAAACUGACGCCAUCUCAGCUAGCGUUUGCCAGAAGGCAUGUGGGAGAAUUUGGAACAAAGCUGAAAUAGUUUUUGGAAUAGGGAGAAAAAUGAGCUUUGCUUUUUUUUCUUCUAUCACACUAAAUGCUAUGUUUGGUGUAAAACAAACAGUGUGAUGUCAUCAUAACUCAUCCUUUCACCACAAAGCCUGGUUCCUGCAGAAUCACGCUUGGAGGGGCUUCCUUGCAGCAUAAUUUGGUAAAGGGUAAAAUAAAUUCAACAACAAACGAAGAAGAAAAAACUAUGGGAAUGUCUGUUAUGAAACUAAAAAGAGAAGGUUUUGAUUUCAGCAAGACAUAAAUCCACAGCUAUGUUAUUCUAUUAAAGUGGCUAAGCCAGCUUCCAGACCUCCGUGCAAUGCAGAAUUAGUUGCAGGACUUCAAAACUUGCGGUAGCUGUGCAACUUACUGAUCUGUUCACAGCUAUAUGUGCAAUCCCAACAUUAGCCUGUAACUGCUGACUGCAAACUUAAGAUAAAAAAUACUUAGCACUCAGUGUAGUUAAACCCUACUUAUUUUUGUGAAUCUGUUGAUCUGUGUGAACAAAAGUGAGCAAGCAUUUACGCAGCGCGUACCACACCUCUGCCUUGGCUUUAAGGCUCUACCUGCACCCUGUCACGCUUCCUUUCCCUUGCUCUGGUCUCAUCCCGGAGGAGAGCGUGAGCCAUGUGUGGGUGUCACAGAGCUGACAGGUCUAUCUGGGCUCUGUCUACUGUGCUGGCUAUUCCCAUUUCCCCUCUUCACUGCCUACUCCACAGCUGCUGUGCAUCCGACUGUGACACCACGCCUGCACGCGCACGCACACACACGAGGCAUAUCAGUUUACAAAAGGGGGAGGCUUGAGGCUACCCACGAGGUCAAUCCCGGAACGCAAAACACCGUUAAAAAUCAAAACUAUAUUUUAGCAUCUGUUAGAGAAAAGAAGAGAGAAUCAGAGGAAAGUAGAC